UUGGAAGAAGCUAACCGGGACGCUGACCUCCACCAUGUGGCUUGUAACUUUGUCAAGAAGCCGGGCAAGGUCUACUACCUAUACAAGAGGGAAAAUGGCCAACGCUACUUCUCUAUGCUUUCUCCAGAGGAAUGGGGGGCCAGCUGUCCCAGCGAGUUCCUGGGGGGCUACAAGCUGCAGCACGACAUGUCUUGGACCCCUUCGGAUGAGAUGGAGAAGCGGGACGCCGAGCUCAACGUCCUGGAGAAGUUGCUGAACCAACAGGCGUCUCUCCCGCCGUGCAGUGAGCCCAACUUCCGAGGCCUUACGAUGUGAUGCCAACUGUGGGUGGAAACGAUGCUCUCUUUCCCAUCUAUCCAAUUCCGCUCCUCCCCGGAAAUGGGUCCAGCGGGGAGAAAUAAAAACAGGACAGCGAUGGGUGGUCUGGUUUAUCGAAGCCCCCUUGCUUAGUUUUUUUUUCAUUGGAUACCAGCAUGGGGACCAGCGUCCAAUUUUAAUUAGCCUUGUUUCAGCCCUUGGUGUUAUUUUUCCCAGACUCUACAAGGAAUCCAUAAAAAGGAGUUUUGGGUUGGUGUAGGGGUCCACCCAAAGAGCUAGGCAAGCUUCACCUUGCCCCAUUUUUAUAGCCAUAAUCCGAGACGUACUUAUUUCCUCCGUGUUUUGAAUGCAGUGGAAUUUACUUCUGAGAAAAUGUGCCCAGGACGGCAACGUUGGAGAUUAUAUUUACAUUCUGUCUUCUCUAGAAAACACAAAGAAGCAUCUAUGUGCUUUCUCCUUGCCUUUUAAUUUUCACAGUUCACCCUGAGAUAGAUUGGACUGAGAAUUACUACUCUGGCCCAGCUUGGUGGCUACGGAGGGUGUCAUCAUCUUAGAACUUCAGAGCUGGAAGGGACCCUAUGGGGCAUCAGUGGGGAAUCGAACCCCCAACCCGUCAGAGACCUAAACCACUGAGCUACCGAGCAGUUCCGCCUGACACUGUAUCCUGGAGAUUGUUUUUCUGGUACCCUGCCUCCCAUGGACAGCUGGGACUACAGUUCCCUCACUUUUCAAACCUUUGGCCAAGUUUUUUGAAUUUCUCAGAACAGUAGUCCUAUAAUCGGGAUGGUGCUCAUCUCUCUACCUCUGCUCUGCACCACAGUGGAUUAUCCACCGGAACAGUCAUGGCCGUAUUUAACAGAGAGUCUUAACUUAGUUUUUCAAAAGCGUUGAUGCCCGGAUCAUAUGUCUCCUUUAACAGAUGCUAAUCUGAUCAUUCAGAUCUCCCGGGCUCAUUCUGAAACCUGUAACCUACCAAGUUACUUGUUCAAGUCCUUAGGGAGUGGUACAGUAUGCAGAGACACACGAGAGACCUUUUGGGGGCUUUAUUGCCGCCGUCACGGACUGGCCUCUUCUUGAAGGCCAACCUGAUCUCAAAACUGCCCUUAUUUCACAAGCAGGUUGAAACCUGGCUUGUUCAACCAUGGAUUUGGGGCUCAGCGCGAUCCUGGCUUGAUUUCUGAUAUAUCGGACUGUCGGUUUCAUUUUUUUUUUAGCCUUAGGGUGUUCUAAAGUUAUUUCGUGGGUUGUGCUUCACCCUGAGAUCUGCUGAUAUUGGGAGGGCUAUAAUCGCUUUAAUAAAUAAUAACUGGAGGCA